UGUGUCACUGCUUGGCUAGUUUCCAAAUGC
rnacentral:piRNA from 1 species